rnacentral:rRNA from 1 species
UACGGGGGGGGCAAGCGUUGUUCGGAAUUACUGGGCGUAAAGGGCUCGUAGGUGGCCAACUAAGUCAGACGUGAAAUCCCUCAGCUUAACUGGGGAACUGCGUCUGAUACUGGAUGGCUUGAGUUUGGGAGAGGGAUGCGGAAUUCCAGGUGUAGCGGUGGAAUGCGUAGAUAUCUGGAGGAACACCGGUGGCGAAGGCGGCUCUCUGGGACGGUACUGACGCUGAGACGCGAAAGCGUGGGGAGCAAACAGG